GAUGAACGCUGACAGAAUGCUUAACACAUGCAAGUCAACUGUGGCGGACGGGUGAGUAACGCGUAAAGAACUUGCCUCCCGGAUAGGGACAUCAUUUGGAAACGAAUGCUAAUACCUGAUACUGUGAGAGAGCUUUGCGUCCCAUUAGCUAGUUGGGGAGGUAACGGCUCACAAAGGCGAUGAUGGGUAGCCGGCCUGAGAGGGUGCUAGGCCACAAGGGGACUGAGACACGGCCCUUACUCCUACGGGAGGCAGCAGUGUGGAAUAGUGGAGAAUGGACCAAAGUCUGAUCCAGCAAUUCUGUGUGCAGAAUGAAGUUUUCGGAAUGUAAAGUGGUUUCAGUUGGGAAGCGGUAACAACAGAAGAAGUGACGGCUAAAUACGUGCCAGCAGCCGCGGUAAUUC
rnacentral:rRNA from 1 species